rnacentral:rRNA from 1 species
UUGACCUCGGAUCAGGUAGGGAUACCCGCUGAACUUAAGCAUAUCAAUAAGCGGAGGAAAAGAAACCAACCGGGAUUGCCUCAGUAACGGCGAGUGAAGCGGCAAGAGCUCAAAUUUGAAAGCUGGCUCCUUCGGGGUCCGCAUUGUAAUUUGCAGAGGAUGCUUCGGGUGCGGCCCCUGUCUAAGUGCCCUGGAACGGGCCGUCAGAGAGGGU